rnacentral:rRNA from 1 species
UGGGGGAUAUUGCACAAUGGGCGAAAGCCUGAUGCAGCGACGCCGCGUGGGGGAUGAAGGCUUUCGGGUUGUAAACCUCUUUCGCUAUCGAACAAGGCCCGCUUAGGGUGGGUUGAGGGUAGGUGGAGAAGCAGCGCCGGCUAACUACGUGCCAGCAGCCGCGGUAAUACGUAGGGCGCGAGCGUUGUCCGGAAUUAUUGGGCGUAAAGGGCUUGUAGGCGGCUUGUUGCGCCUGCUGUGAAAACGCGGGGCUUAACUUCGCGCGUGCAGUGGGUACGGGCAGGCUUGAGUGUGGUAGGGGUGACUGGAAUUCCAGGUGUAGCGGUGGAAUGCGCAGAUAUCUGGAGGAACACCGAUGGCGAAGGCAGGUCACUGGGCCAUUACUGACGCUGAGGAGCGAAAGCAUGGGUAGCGAACAGG